GUGGGGAAUAUUGGACAAUGGGCGCAAGCCUGAUCCAGCAAUGCCGCGUGCAGGAAGAAGGCCUUCGGGUUGUAAACUGCUUUUGUACGGAACGAAACGGUCCGGGUUAAUACCCUGGGCUAAUGACGGUACCGUAAGAAUAAGCACCGGCUAACUACGUGCCAGCAGCCGCGGUAAUACGUAGGGUGCGAGCGUUAAUCGGAAUUACUGGGCGUAAAGCGUGCGCAGGCGGUGAUGUAAGACAGAUGUGAAAUCCCCGGGCUCAACCUGGGAACUGCAUUUGUGACUGCAUCGCUGGAGUACGGCAGAGGGGGAUGGAAUUCCGCGUGUAGCAGUGAAAUGCGUAGAUAUGCGGAGGAACACCGAUGGCGAAGGCAAUCCCCUGGGCCUGCACUGACGCUCAUGCACGAAAGCGUGGGGAGCAAACAGGAUUAGAUACCCUUGUAGUCC
rnacentral:rRNA from 1 species